rnacentral:lncRNA from 1 species
UAGGAAAGACAAGGGGGAAAAUGCCUAAAUUGCUGCAGUGAUCUGUCUGUGUAAACAUUUCAAACAUCUGUCUGCAUUUGGAAAUAUCCUGGGCUGCGCGCUGAAAGUAUUUAGGCUUUUUCCAAAGGAAGAAAUCUCCCACCUUCCAGGAACCUGAUAUUUUGGACCAGAUCCCUCUUUGAACAGGUUGUGUGCUGCCCUUUUCAAAAUCAAGCUAUCAGAAGAUGCCCUUCAGCAGAAGUGUUAAGAGGACUUGGUGAGCUUAACAUGUUUCGCCUGCUUAAUUUAAUUUGGAAAAAUUCAACCAGAAAAUGAAGUUAUUAACAGUAUAAAAAAAGGUGCGUGCUCAAGAGUUAUCUGACUGGGUUGUUGAAGACAGCAAGUCACUACAGAGGAGAAGGAAUUCUCAGAAGAUAAGUGUCUGCCACCCUGUCUCUUUUGUGCUAACUACCAACAGCUGGAGCCCAGGCAGAAGAGAGGCAAGAGAAGCACGUGUCAAGGAAGUAUGUGCUUAAGCAUGAAGGUGAACAGAGCUUUCCAGGGGAAAGGUACAGUUUUUUGUUGCAUUUAAUUGAAUUUCUAUUAUUGCAUAUAAUAGAUUUUAAAAAAAUUCCAAUGCAAGAGUAGUAGUUUUCACUUCAUAGGCAU